CCGAAUAUGGCCGUGACCUCUUGAUGAAUCUGAACUAACACAAACUUAGAUGCCUUGGGGAUAUCCUGGAGGAAUAGAUCCGGCGUUUUAUUUCCCCCUCUUGCUUUAUUGUGUAUUUUCCCCUCCAGCGUUUGGUCUUUGAACCGCUCGUCAACAACAAAGAACAACAACCAAUA